rnacentral:rRNA from 1 species
AUUGAACGCUGGCGGCAGGCCUAACACAUGCAAGUCGAGCGGAGCGGCGGACGGGUGAGUAAUGCCUAGGAAUCUGCCUGGUAGUGGGGGAUAACGUCCGGAAACGGGCGCUAAUACCGCAUACUCUCAGAUGAGCCUCGGUCGGAUUAGCUAGUUGGUGGGGUAAAGGCAUACCAAGGCGACGAUCCGUAACUGGUCUGAGAGGAUGAUCAGUCACACUGGAACUGAGACACGGUCCAGACUCCUACGGGAGGCAGCAGUGGGGAAUAUUGGACAAUGGGCGAAAGCCUGAUCCAGCCAUGCCGCGUGUGUGAAGAAGGUCUUCGGAUUGUAAAGCACUUUAAGUUGGGAGGCGUUACCAACAGAAUAAGCACCGGCUAACUUCGUGCCAGCAGCCGCGGUAAUUC